rnacentral:rRNA from 1 species
AGCAUAUCAAUAAGCGGAGGAAAAGAAACCAACAGGGAUUGCCUCAGUAACGGCGAGUGAAGCGGCAACAGCUCAAAUUUGAAAUCUGGCGCCCUCGGCGUCCGAGUUGUAAUUUGUAGAGGAUGCUUCGGCGAGGGCUCCCGUCUAAGUCCCCUGGAACGGGGCGUCGCAGAGGGUGAGAAUCCCGUAUGUGAUGGGCUGCCCGAGCCGUGUGAAGCUCCUUCGACGAGUCGAGUUGUUUGGGAAUGCAGCUCUAAAUGGGAGGUAAAUUUCUUCUAAAGCUAAAUACCGGCCAGAGACCGAUAGCGCACAAGUAGAGUGAUCGAAAGAUGAAAAGCACUUUGGAAAGAGAGUUAAAAAGUACGUGAAAUUGUUGAAAGGGAAGCGCUUGCAACCAGACUCGCGCGCAGUUGCUCAGCCGGUCUCCUGACCGGUGUACUCUUCUGCGUCCGGGCCAGCAUCAGUUCGGGCGGCCGGAUAAAGGCCUCGGGAAUGUGGCUCCCCUCGGGGAGUGUUAUAGCCCGGGGUGCAAUGCGGCCAGCCCGGACUGAGGAACUCGCUUCGGCUAGGAUGCUGGCGUAAUGGUUGUAAGCGGCCCGUCUUGAAACACGGACCAAGGAGUCUAACAUCUAUGCGAGUGUUUGGGUGUCAAACCCAUGCGCGUAAUGAAAGUGAACGGAGGUGGGAACCCUCACGGGUGCACCAUCGACCGAUCCUGAUGUCUUCGGAUGGAUUUGAGUAAGAGCAUAGCUGUUGGGACCCGAAAGAUGGUGAACUAUGCCUGAAUAGGGUGAAGCCAGAGGAAACUCUGGUGGAGGCUCGCAGCGGUUCUGACGUGCAAAUCGAUCGUCAAAUUUGGGUAUAGGGGCGAAAGACUAAUCGAACCAUC